CACCGGUGGUGGAACUUGAAUUUUAAGUUGGCCUUCAUCUCUGACAUUGCAUAGUAGGUUCGGGUUAAAGGUGGCAAAAUGAGUGGGUCAACGGGUCAUGCACAUUGCCUGAAGGGUGAAGUCGAAGCAUUUUUUAUAUUUAUAUUAGAUGCUUAGCUAGAUGGCUGAGUGUUUUUAGCCACUAUAACAAGAAAAUUUAGAGGAUGCCUAUGGCCUAUGUGAAGCUAUUGUGUUACCAGAUGGGAACAAAAGCUCUAGACAUCUCACUUUCCAUAGAUGAUAUUUGGGGACAAUUACUUCUUAAGCACAUGGUGAAAAGGGUUCAAAAGUAAGUGAAACUCUUGAUGUGCUAAAAGAUUAAAGACUCAACCGUAGGGACCAAUUAGAAUGGGGAUGAGAGACAAGUCCACGAGCAGCUGGCGCCACGGAGCCAAGCACAUCAGGAUGCCUCCAUCAUUCUCCAGAUAAAGAAAGUUAGUUGGGAGUUCUUUAAAAGAAGAUGAGAGAAAUUGACACUGAGAUGUAAGCAAUUCAUGUUGAUUAUGAAACAUAUGGUUGAAUGGAGCCUUGAAAAUUUCUUGU